UACGUAGGGUCCGAGCGUUGUCCGGAAUUACUGGGCGUAAAGGGCUCGUAGGCGGCCAACUAAGUCAGACGUGAAAUCCCUCGGCUUAACCGGGGAACUGCAUCUGAUACUGGAUGGCUUGAGUUUGGGAGAGGGAUGCGGAAUUCCAGGUGUAGCGGUGAAAUGCGUAGAUAUCUGGAGGAACACCGGUGGCGAAGGCGGCAUCCUGGACCAACACUGACGCUGAUGAGCGAAAGCCAGGGGAGCAAACGGG
rnacentral:rRNA from 1 species